UGGGGAAUAUUGGACAAUGGGCGCAAGCCUGAUCCAGCCAUGCCGCGUGAGUGAUGAAGGCCCUAGGGUUGUAAAGCUCUUUUGUGCGGGAAGAUAAUGACUGUACCGCAAGAAUAAGCCCCGGCUAACUUCGUGCCAGCAGCCGCGGUAAUACGGAGGGAGCUAGCGUUAUUCGGAAUUACUGGGCGUAAAGCGCACGUAGGCGGCUUUGUAAGUUAGAGGUGAAGGCCUGGAGCUCAACUCCAGAACUGCCUUUAAGACUGCAUCGCUUGAAUCCAGGAGAGGUGAGUGGAAUUCCGAGUGUAGAGGUGAAAUUCGUAGAUAUUCGGAAGAACACCAGUGGCGAAGGCGGCUCACUGGACUGGUAUUGACGCUGAGGUGCGAAAGCGUGGGGAGCAAAC
rnacentral:rRNA from 1 species